rnacentral:rRNA from 1 species
CAAUAGCGUAUAUUAAAGCUGUUGCGGUUAAAAAGCUCGUAGUUGGAUUUCUGUCAAGGACAACUGGUCCGCCCCUCGGGUGAGCACAUAGUUUGGUCUUGGCAUCUUGUUGGAAACUGUUGCUGCACUUGGUUGUGUGGCGCAGUGUCCAGCACUUUCACUUUGAGGAAAUUGGAGUGUUUCAAGCAGGCACAUGCCUUUGGACACAGUAGCAUGGAAUAAUUAGAUUGGGCUUUUGCUCCAACUUGUCGGUUUCUGGAGCUGAGGUGAGAAUUAAUGGGGAUUGUUGUGGGCAUCCGAAUUUAGCCGUCAGAGGUGAAAUUCUUGGAUCUGCUAAAGACGGACAACUGCGAAAGCGUUUGCCCAGGAUGUUUUCAUUGA